UACGAAGGGGGCUAGCGUUGUUCGGAAUCACUGGGCGUAAAGCGCACGUAGGCGGAUGUGUCAGUCAGGGGUGAAAUCCCGGAGCUCAACUUCGGAACUGCCUUUGAUACAGCACGUCUUGAGUCCGAUAGAGGUGGGUGGAAUUCCUAGUGUAGAGGUGAAAUUCGUAGAUAUUAGGAAGAACACCGGUGGCGAAGGCGGCGACCUGGUCCGAUACUGACGCUGAGGCGCGAAAGCGUGGGGAGCAAACAGG
rnacentral:rRNA from 1 species